rnacentral:rRNA from 1 species
GAUGAACGCUAGCUACAGGCUUAACACAUGCAAGUCGAGGGGUUUCGAAGAGCUUGCUCCGAGAAACGACCGGCGCACGGGUGAGUAACGCGUAUCCAACCUGCCCUUCAUAUUGGGAUAGCCUUCCGAAAGGGAGAUUAAUACCGAAUAACAUGAGAAGAUUGCAUGAACCUCUCAUGAAAGCUCCGGCGAUGAAGGAUGGGGGAUGCGUUCCCAUUAGGUAGUAGGCGGGGUAACGGCCCACCAAGGCUACGAUCGUUAGGGGUUCUGAGAGGAAGGUCCCCCACACUGGAACUGAGACACGGUCCAGACUCCUACGGGAGGCAGCAGUGAGGAAUAUUGGGUACAAUGGUCGAGAGACUGAACCAGCCAAGUAGCGUGAAGGAUGACUG